UGGUUGAUCCUACCUAGUCUUUCAUAGGCUU
rnacentral:piRNA from 1 species